rnacentral:rRNA from 1 species
AGGGGAUCGUGAAUGGUGAUCCUGGGACCCCUGGCGAAGCGCCCGCUGACGUUCGCGUGAGGACGAGGCCGGGGGACAACCCGGUUAGAUCCCGGGUAGUCCGGCUGGUAAUUUUCGGACUAGGUGUCGCGUGGCUUCGGGCCGGCGCGGUCCGAAGGAAGCCGUUAAGUCCGCCGCCUGGGGAGUCGGUCGCAAGACUGAACUUAAAGGAAUUGGCGGGGGAGCACUACAACGGGUGGAGCCUCGGUUUAAUUGGAUUCAACGCCGGGCAUCUUACCAGGGGCGACGGCAGGAUGAAGGCCAGGUUGACGACCUUGCCAGACGCGCCGAGAGGUGGUGCAUGGCCGUCGUCAGCUCGUACCGUGAGGCGUCCUGUUAAGUCAGGUAACGAGCGAGACCCGUGCCCCAUGUUGCCAUCCCCUCCUCCGGGAGGGGGGCACUCAUGGGGGACCGCCGGCGAAAAGCCGGAGGAAGGUGCGGGCAACGACAGGUCCGCAUGCCCCGAAUCCCCUGGGCUACACGCGGGCUACAAUGGCCGGGACAAUGGGAUGCGACCCCGAAAGGGGGAGCAAAUCCCCUAAACCCGGUCGUAGUCCGGAUCGAGGGCUGUAACUCGCCCUCGUGAAGCCGGAAUCCGUAGUAAUCGCGCCUCACCU